rnacentral:rRNA from 1 species
GACGAACGCCGCCUAGAGUGCUUAGCACGUGCAAGUCGAACGAUGAAGCCUAGCUUGCUAGGGGGAUUAGUGGCGAACGGGUGACUAAUGCGUGAGUAACCUACCUUUAACUCGGGGAUAAGCCUGGGAAACUGGGUCUAAUACCGGAUACGACCAAUCUCCGCAUGGGGUGUGGGUGGAAAGCGUUAGAUAGGGGUUAUUGAUGGGCUCACGGCCUAUCAUCGUGUUGGUGAGGUAACGGCUGAGCAACGCGACAACGGGGAGACGGCCUGAAAGGGUGACCGGCCGCACUGGGACUGAGACACGGCCCAUACUCCUACGGGAGGCAGGAGGGAGGAAUAUUGGGCAAUGGGUGCAAGCCGGAUGCGACUACGCCACAUGAGGGAUGACAGCGUUCAGGGUUGUACACGGCUGUUAGCGCUGAAUAAGAGAGAUUGACGGUACCUGCCGAUAGAGCGCCUGCUUGCUGCUUUCUUGCAACUCAGUGAGACGUAAGGCUCCUGCGUUGCCCGGAAUUAUUGGGCGUAAGAGCUGUAGGCGGUUUGUCGCGUCUGCUGUGAAAGGCCGGAGCUUAACUCCGUGUAUUGCAGUGGGUACGGGCAGACUAGAGUGCAGUAGGGGAGACUGGAAUUCCUGGUGUAGCGGUGGAAUGCGCAGAUAUCAGGAGGAACACCGAUGGCGAAGGCGGGUCUCUGGGCUGUAACUGACGCUGAGAAGCGAAAGCAUGGGGAGCGAACAGGAUUAGAUACCCUGGUAGUCCAUGCCGUAAACGUUGGGCACUAGGUGUGGGGAACAUUCCACGUUUUCCGCGCCGUAGCUAACGCAUUAAGUGCCCCGCCUGGGGAGUACGGCCGCAAGGCUAAAACUCAAAGAAAUUGACGGGGGCCCGCACAAGCGGCGGAGCAUGCGGAUUAAUUCGAUGCAACGCGAAGAACCUUACCAAGGCUUGACAUAUACUGGAUCGCAUCAGAGAUGGUGUUUCCCUUCGGGGCUGGUAUACAGGUGGUGCAUGGUUGUCGUCAGCUCGUGUCGUGAGAUGUUGGGUUAAGUCCCGCAACGAGCGCAACCCUCGUUCUAUGUUGCCAGCACGUUAUGGUGGGGACUCAUAGGAGACUGCCGGGGUCAACUCGGAGGAAGGUGGGGAUGACGUCAAAUCAUCAUGCCCCUUAUGUCUUGGGCUUCACGCAUGCUACAAUGGCCGGUACAGAGGGUUGCGAUACUGUGAGGUGGAGCUAAUCCCUAAAAGCCGGUCUCAGUUCGGAUUGGGGUCUGCAACUCGACCCCAUGAAGUCGGAGUCGCUAGUAAUCGCAGAUCAGCAACGCUGCGGUGAAUACGUUCCCGGGCCU